CUGGAGACCCAGAAUCGAGUCCCAUAUCAGGCUCCCUGCAUGGAGCCUGCUUCCUCCCUCUGCCUGUGUCUAUGUCUCUCUCUUUCUCUCUCUCUCUCUCUCUCUCUCUCUCUUUUUCUCUCUCUGUGGAUCUCAUGAAUAAAUAAAAUAUUUUAAAAAAGAAAUUCACAACAAUAGGUAAUGGUGAAGAGUGAGAAAGAACCAAAUGAACGACAGAAUAAGGGUGUAAUGGAGCAUGAAUGGAAGAAACUCCCUCUUUAUGUCAUGUUUACCAUCAGAAUUGUAUAUUGGAGAUAAAGAAGAAUUACAGGUCACUUUAGGACCUAUCUUUAGGGUUGUUAAAGAACUGACCACAGCAUCAAACCUAUAUCCNNNNNNCCCCCCCCCCCCCCCCCGCCCCAAAGAUGUCAGAAGUAAUGCUUUGUGAUGUUGAAGCCACCCAUUGGCUGGAACAGUUCUUUGAUGACCAAAGCCAAAGGAUAUGGCUCCACAUUAUCUAAGGGAAAGUGUGCAUAUGUAAAUAAAUGAAAGUCAGGAGCCCUGAGAUAGAUCACUAGGAGGCUUAAAUAUGGUGAUAAGAUCCACAUACCAUAAAAGCCUAGCAUAAAUCUAGAACAAUCAAGUAUGAGAAUGAAACGGCGAAUGCCAUGCACCAAAGGAAGGAAAAAGCAGAACAUUUCUUGUCCCUCCAACAACAAAAAAAAUGACAAGGUGCAAAAGGAAGUCAUAAGAUCAACAUUAGGCCAUCAACAGAAUUUGAAGAAAAUGAAGAACACAAAAAAUCCAACAAUAAUAGUCUGUUACUACAGAACGAACAAGAAAAUACAUCAGAAUCAGCUGGAGUCUAAACAAGAGAUCCCAGAGAGCUCUGAUGAUCCAAGCAGUGGCCUGUCAGUGGCAGGGGCCAGAGAUCUGGGCCUAUCUACUGUAUCUCAUGAGAAUGCAAUGGAGAAAGCCAACUUCAGAGAGACCACAUCUGAAAAAUAGUGGUGAUGACAAUAAAAUCAAGUCAUCAGCAACA
rnacentral:lncRNA from 1 species